rnacentral:rRNA from 1 species
CCUACGGGUGGCUGCAGUGGGGAAUAUUGGACAAUGGGCGAAAGCCUGAUCCAGCCAUGCCGCGUGUGUGAAGAAGGCCUUCGGGUUGUAAAGCACUUUCAGUGGGGAAGAAAGCCUUGGGGCUAAUACCCUCGAGGAAGGACAUCACCCACAGAAGAAGCACCGGCUAACUCCGUGCCAGCAGCCGCGGUAAUACGGAGGGUGCGAGCGUUAAUCGGAAUUACUGGGCGUAAAGCGCGCGUAGGCGGUCUGAUAAGCCGGUUGUGAAAGCCCCGGGCUCAACCUGGGAACGGCAUCCGGAACUGUCAGGCUAGAGUGCGGGAGAGGAAGGUAGAAUUCCCGGUGUAGCGGUGAAAUGCGUAGAGAGCGGGAGGAAUACCAGUGGGGAAGGCGGCCUUCUGGACUGACACUGACGCUGAGGUGCGAAAGCGUGGGUAGCAAACAGGAGUAGAUACCCUGGUAGUC